rnacentral:rRNA from 1 species
CAAGCGGACCUCAUAAAGUAUGUCGUAGUCCGGAUUGGAGUCUGCAACUCGACUCCAUGAAGUCGGAAUCGCUAGUAAUCGUAGAUCAGAAUGCUACGGUGAAUACGUUCCCGGGCCUUGUACACACCGCCCGUCACACCAUGGGAGUGGGUUGCAAAAGAAGUAGGUAGCUUAACCUUCGGGAGGGCGCUUACCACUUUGUGAUUCAUGACUGGGGUGAAGUCGUAACAAGGUAACCGUAGGGGAACCUGCGGUUGGAUCACCUCCUU